rnacentral:misc_RNA from 1 species
AUUUGCAAUGCGGAUCAUGCUAACAGUGUUUGAAUGUCGACAGCAUUUGCGUUAAUUCAUUGAGAAUUUAGUGUUUGCUUGAUAAUCGUAAUUUUUUCUUGCUGAGAUAUUAGUAAGACUGGAGAAAAUAAAUUCACAAACUGGAAAUAAUUCAAUUCAUGGUAGUUUCAGGUUGUAAGAAGUUUUUGAGCUAAUAUUUGCCAAUUGCUACAUUUCUAAUAAGACAUGAUGGUGCUUCAACAAGUGAGCUGCUUGCUUUGCUUUUUUGAUUUUGAAUAUAUUUUUUUUGUUUAGUUCUUGCGAAUUUAAGUUUAGUUUUGGUGAGUUGCCUCUGCUACCUCUUGUUAGAUUCCAUCUGCUAGGGGUAGAUUUUAGUUUCUGUUUUUAUGAAUGCUGAAAUUAAUAUGGUUUUCCGAGAGUCAUGAUUAAA